UACAGAGGUCCCAAGCGUUGUUCGGAUUCACUGGGCGUAAAGGGUGCGUAGGCGGUCGGAUAAGUCUGGCGUGAAAUCUCCAAGCCUAACUUGGAAACUGCGUUGGAUACUAUCCGGCUCGAGGAAUGGAGGGGAGACUGGAAUACUUGGUGUAGCAGUGAAAUGCGUAGAUAUCAAGUGGAACACCAGUGGCGAAGGCGAGUCUCUGGACAUUUCCUGACGCUGAGGCACGAAAGCCAGGGGAGCAAACGGG
rnacentral:rRNA from 1 species